rnacentral:tRNA from 1 species
GGACAUAUAGCUCAGCGGUAGAGCAGCCGACUGCAGAUCGGCAGGUCUCUGGUUCAAUCCCGGAUGUGUCCU